CCACUUGUGUUCAAAUUAUGUGGAUGUAAGCAAUUAUAGGUCAUGGUAUAGCCUUCAGCAGUAAGUAAAACCUAUACCUAUGCAAGGUGUUCAAAUUAUGUGGAUGUAAGCAAUUAUAGGUCAUGGUACAGCCUUCAGCAGUGAGUAAAACCUAUACCUUUAGUCAGCUAUAAAAGGCCAAGAAAGGAAAAAAUGUGAACAAUUCAAAAGAGAAAACUAACAGCAAGUUCAAUUCACGAAAAAAAAAAAUCCAAAGGAUUUACUUAUUUUCUUGGGUACUGAUUUUUGUGGAUUGAGGUAAAAUUGUGCAUACAAGCCAAAGAAAAUUUGUACUUCAUUGAAUAUAUAACUUUGUGUUUCACCUUCACCCACGAAACAAAUGAAAAUUGGUCUACCACAAAUAAUAAUGAAUCCACAGUAUGACUGACAUAAAGACGGUAGGUUCCAACAAGAUGUCUUUUGGUUACUUUUGUUGUUGAGUUGCUGUCACAUUAUUGUAUUCCCCACAAUUCCUUUAUUUUAUACAAACAUCAUAAGACUAUCAUUCCAAGAUCAUAUGGAGGGAGAUCUGUAAUGGUACAGUGUACCCCUUAUCCUCUAUCAAUCUUCCCCAAACUCUGUAAUAAUGGUACAGGUAACCCCUUAUCCACUAUCAAUCUCCCCAGACUCAGUAAUGGUACAGUUAGCCCUUAUCCUCUAUCAAUCUCCCCAAACUGUAAAGGUACAGGUAACCCCUUAUCCUCUAUCAAUCUCCCCAGACUCAGUAAUGGUACAGUUAGCCCUUAUCCUCUAUCAAUCUCCCCAAACUCUGUAAUGGUACAGGUAACCCCUUAUCCACUAUCAAUCUCCCCAAACUCUGUAAUGGUACAGAUAACGCCUUAUCCUCUAUCAAUCUCCCCAAAACUCUAUUAUGGUACAGGUAACCCCUUAUCCUCUAUCAAUCUCCCCAGACUCUGUAAUGGUACAGGUAACCCCUUAUCCUCUAUCAAUCUCCCCAAACUCUGUAAUGGUACAGGUAACCCCUUAUCCUCUAUCAAUCUCCCCAAACUCUGUAAUGGUACAGGUAACCCCUUAUCCUCUAUCAAUCUCCCCAAACUCUGUAAUGGUACAGGUAACCCCUUAUCCUCUAUCAAUCUCCCCAAACUCUGUAAUGGUACAGGUAACCUCUUAUCCUCUAUCAAUCUCCCAAAACUCUGUAAUGGUACAGGUAACCCCUUAUCCUCUAUUAAACUCCCCCAAAUCUGUAAUGGUACAGGUAACCUCUUAUCCUCUAUCAAUCUCCCAAAACUAGUCAACAUCAUUAAUUUCCUACAAUUUUGUCUAUAAUAAUGUUGUUAACCCUCCUCUAGACUUGUGUCAAUCUUAACGAAUAGGUAAACAAAGUUACUGAUGAAGUAUUGAUCAGGUGUCUUAUAUCUCCCAAGAGAUUUAUUCAAUUACUCUAUCUCUGUCAUCAACAAGUGCAUUUUUUGUCUUCAAGGCAAAUACCUACAGUACAUAUAUAAAUAGUUACUGAAGCACUUGUUUGAUAUGAUGAUUUUUUUUUUUGAGAGUCAAUUUAGUGUUUAAUUAAGAGAUUUAAUUUCAGAAGUACAUUUUGAAGUGGGGCACAGGGGCGUUUAAGACAUCUUUUUUUUCAGAUUAACAUUUAUUUCAGUAUAUAUAUAUAUAUUGACAUCUUUAAGUAUAGGUUAUUAAUAAUUAAGUUUAAGAUGUUUUAUCAAACAGGGAUUGAUUUGAAUCAUCUUCUUCACUAAAAGCACACAUAUUCUAAGAUUGAAUUAUCUUUUCUGUUAUUUAUUUUUUUCUUCAGAUUUUGUAAAUGUACCGGUAAAACUUGUAACAUAACAAGACUUCUUUUAACCUCAGACAUUAUGUAUGUGUCCCUCCCAAGUCAGGAGCCUGUAAUUCAGUGGUUGUCGUUCAAUGCUGUUAAUCAUUUGUUUUUCGUUUAUUGUUUUGUAUAUAAAUCAAGCCAUUGGGUUCUCUCUCUCCUUUUAAGUUGUCUUACAUUUUGUCAAGUCAGGACCUUUUAUAGUUUACUAUGGGGUAUGGGUUUUGCUUAUUGUAGAAGCUGUAUGGCGACCUAUAGUUGCUAACAUUCAAGUCAAUUGGUCUUAUGAUGAAUGAUUUUUAUAUUAAUUCAUAAACAUGGAUAUGCUCAGAUAGGAAACAUGUCCAUAAAGUUUGAUGACAAUGUAAAAGUUCUCUGUUCAAUACUCAGACUUAUCUGUACUGUGAACAUCCAAAAAUUUGCCAAUUCAUAUCAGAAUCUGUUUGAUAAACAGCAAUGAAAGAGAUGUUCCUUAAAAAAAUACACUUUAUUUUUAAUCAAAUCGAGAUUGAGUGAGAUCUAAUGCUCCUUUAUUUAUCCCCAAUGCAAGCUCUUGUUUUUUGAGUGAAAGGAAAAAGACAUCUUGAAUAAGCACUGUUUACAUCAAUUUUCGCCUAUAUAUGUGAAUUAAUAAAAUUAUUAUAAAUAAAAAUAAUUAGCCAUCCUUCUGCCCCAUUAUAAUACUGUAUUAAUAUUAAUGAACUACAUGUUUGAAGUUAAAAUAUGAUGUUGACUAUUUAAUUGUAGAUUAUUCACUUGGAAAUGCUCCCUAUUUUUGAUCAACAGAAAUUCAAAAUACUUCCUUCAAAAGUUAAGUUGUUUAAUAUUUAAUAUGUCAGUCAUGAUAUAGACUGAUCAUUAAAUCAGAAUUGAAUUUCAUAUGUCAAAGUUUACAUGUGAUGCAGGACAAGACAGCAAUAUUAUUGAUUUUAAAUAACCUAAAUGAACUUCCAUGUGUUGCUCUUGGGUGACUGCAAAAAGAAGAUCCAGAAUUUAUGUUUAUUGUAACUUAACAUAAAAAGAAAAUAUUACUGAGCUUAGAAAGAAGAAAUAAUUGAUCAUGUCCAUGUACAAAUAUUUAGAAAAUAAUUUGUUUUUCAAAAACAUAUGUGUAU